AUUCUCUGCCACCCUCCUGCUCACCCAUGACCUGUCAUCCCCAGAACUAGAUAAAGACGGCUCCCCAUCCCACUUCUGAAGCCCACUUUGGGAGUGUCUGCACUUCAAGAGAAGACAACAAGAAUCACACCCACCAGGAAACAGCUCCAAAGUAGGCUUGAACGUUGCAUGGGACAACAGCAGCCAGGAGCGGAGCCCAAGGGAGCUGCUGUGAGCACAGGGGCCCUGGAGUACUGCCCAGCUGGGAUCACAGACGCAACAGAGUUAAUGCUGGGAACCUCUGGGACAGCACCAAAGCCCUCAGAAGCCAUCCUUAAAGCUCAGGAGAGAGGCAGUAAGGACCCCAGCAGAGGAACCCACCACCCCUAUACCACCAUUGGGUUCUGAGGGAAUCAAC
rnacentral:lncRNA from 1 species